rnacentral:rRNA from 1 species
UACGGAGGGUGCGAGCGUUAUUCGGAUUUACUGGGCGUAAAGCGCAUGUAGGCGGUUCGGAAAGUUUGAUGUGAAAGCCCCCGACUCAAUCGGGGAAGUGCAUCGGAAACUACCGGACUGGAGUGCAGGAGGGGAGAGCGGAAUUCCUGGUGUAGAGGUGAAAUUCGUAGAGAUCAGGAGGAACAACAGCGGCGAAGGCGGCUCUCUGGACUGUAACUGACGAUGAUGUGCGAAAGAGUGGGGAGCAAACAGG